CUCUGUCUUUAUGUGGAAACUCGCUCACUUUUGCCUGACAUUGGAAAGAAAAAUCAUGUACCGGAUAUCGCAGAAUGGCUUAUUAUAAUUUGUAAUAUUUUCGACGUUUAACCAUCAUCUUCGUCUUUGAUAUGAGAUCACAUAAGAAUUAUUGGAGUUUGCGAACAAUACUUUUUACCGAAUUGAAGACCACGGAUUUUAACAUUUGGACUGCUAUUAUGUAAAUGCGAAUUGUAAUGUGUAUCAAGUUUUGUUAUGUUCUUUAAUUUUAUGUUAGGCACGAAUUAAUUUAUUGUAACAUUGAAAAUGACUCGUUCGGGGUCGAAACGUCUGUUAUUCAAAUCGUAAUGAAUUUGUUAAAUUAAUAAAUAUACAUAUUGGAGCGAUAUAA